UGCUUCUGAUCUGGGUCCCAAUCAGUGGGAUAAGGGCAGAGGCUCACCACGGUGCUGCAUCCACGAGAAACGGGGCUCAGAGUGGGACCUCAAAAACAGCCCAGGCAGCGGCCCCACAAAUUACCCACUCCUGACCCAAAGAGGCAGCAAUGAAAAAAUAACAAUACAGGACGUGGGCGGCUUUGUAACCGGAAUGAGCGUGCUUUAAAUCCUUUAAUAAGGAUUCGUCGGAGGGAAAGCUGGUGCCAGCAGCCGGGAUAACUCCAGCUCUGGCAGCA
rnacentral:ncRNA from 1 species